rnacentral:rRNA from 1 species
UACGAGGGGGGCAAGCGUUGUUCGGAAUUAUUGGGCGUAAAGGGUGCGUAGGUGGUUCGGCAAGUCUUGUGUGAAAUCUUCAGGCUCAACUUGAAGUCUGCACAAGAAACUGCCGGGCUUGAGUAUGGGAGAGGUGAGUGGAAUUUCCGGUGUAGCGGUGAAAUGCGUAGAUAUCGGAAGGAACACCUGUGGCGAAAAGCGGCUCACUGGGACCAUUACUGACACUGAGGCA